GAUAGCAAGCACCUUUGGGCCGAUUCCGGCAGAAAAGCGGCACUGUUGACGUCGAUGAAAAGAUUAUGGGCCAUAACUCUGCCGACUGUACACAACGCAUCUGGCUGACAGACAGCGUUUUCUUUAUGGGCCGGUCUCGGCUGAAAUAGUUGUACUCGCGGCAGGUCCAACUCUGAAAUUGAGUCGAUGUUGGCGCGUUUAAACCUGAAUAGGCCCAAAAGUGCUUGAUAUUUGGGGGCCCGCCUAUUACGAAACGAACUCGGGCCGAUAGAUCUAUACCGAGAUAGAUCUAUCGCACUUUUGGGCCUAUUCAGGUUUAAAUGCGCCAACAUCGACUCAAUUUCAGUCUGUGAAAAGAUAAUGGGCCAGAGCCGUGUCGACUGUACAGCUGACAGACGGCUUUUUCUGAACGGGCCAAUCAGACUGAAAGCUCGUUAUGUGUUUUCGGCCCGAGUUCGUUUGUCACGGGCGGGCCGCUGCUGGAAUUAAGGACUUCAGCUGCCUGAAAAAGAGUUUUGGCGGUUAAAUCCUGAGGAGAAUCCUGCAGUCAACAUUUCAUGAUCGAGAGAAAGGAUCAGCUGCAAAACGCUGCAGUUCAGAGAAACCCUGCUGAAAUGGAGGAUGAGGGGACCAUGAAGAGGUGGCUGCAACUGGCAGCAAAUUGAAAGUGCGGAUGCAUGAACAGAUGGUUGAGAUGACCACAACAGCCCUGAAUGUCAGCAGAGAACAUGACAACUAAACGAGCUCUGGAGACAGAUCCGCUGUGAAGACCUCGUCGACACAACAGUCUACAGCACAGAUCUUCAGCAAAGAUCACGAGAACCAGACGAGACCUCUGCAAGGCCACUUCAACUUCUCUUCCCUCUACAUGCCGUUGUGCUGUGUUCAAUCCUCAAGCUGAAUGAUAUCAGUCCACUAUCUAACUUCUGAUGCAGCUGAAUCAUAAUCACACUGUAUUUGUUUGGCCAGAGGAAAACUGGCCCUCAACUGAGUCUGGUUUCUCUCAGGAUUUUUUCUUCAUUCUGUCAUCUGAUUGAGUUUGGGUUCUUGUCACUAUCACCUCUGGCUUGCUUAGUUGGACACCUACUGUUCAGUAAUAUUGAUCUGACUGCAUUGACACUAUUGGAUGAGAACUCAACAGAGCUGGAUUAUGACAUUACUGUUUUCUGCAGAACUGAUUUAUAGCUGAAUUGAACUCAUUGAACUGAACUGAAACAACACUGAAAUGACUUCAGCUGAACAAUCACACUGUCUUUUGCUCCAUUACAGAAUUAAAUUCUGUUUGCAUAAUUGAAUUAUUAUUUUCUAGUUUAUCACUGUAAAGCUUCUUUGAAACAAACUGUAAUGUAGGUUAUAAAGCACUUUGUGAGGGUGACUUAACUUGAAAUUUGGAAAUUAUUGUUAAAAGAAUUUUUAUGUGUAAGAAAGGAUGUUGUUUCUCCAUUUAAUAUACAGUAAAUAAUUCACUUAGUAUUUAGUAGUUUAAAAUGUAUGUUGUUAAUAAAUGUUUAUAGUGUAUUCAUUGUUAAUACUUAUAGUGUAUUUGUUAAUUUUAUAAUAAAAUGUCUUCAUCUUUUUAAAUGGUUGAUUGUGUUUCACUUGAAUUACAUUUAGCAGUUUCUGGACCACAUCUGGCCCGAGGACCAAGCCGAAUCUCAGCCAGAUCUGUUUUACAGUGCCUGGGCCAAACCUGGGACACAUAAAACAAUUUAAGUCAAUUUUCAGUGUGCUGACCAGAUCUGGGCCACAUCCAUAAAUAAGAGUCUUUUUACAGGGUGUGGGCCGCAUCUGGGCCAAAGGAAGUUGUUUUUGUCCGUUUUCAGUGUGAGGACCGGUUUUGGGCCGGGGACCCAGCCAGAACUGGGCCGGAAUUGAAGCAAGGAUGUGGCCCAGUAGUGGGCCAGACAAA